GACGAACGCUGGCGGCGUGCUUAACACAUGCAAGUCGAACGAGUGGGAACGGGUGAGUAAUACGUGGGUAACCUGCCCAUCAGAGGGGAUAACACUUGGAAACAGGUGCUAAACCGAUACUGCUGGUUGGACCCGCGGUGCAUUAGCGAGUUGGUGAGGUAACGGCUCACCAAGGCCACGAUGCAUAGCAGACCUGAGAGGGUGUGCGACCACACGGGGACUGGGACACGGCCCAGACUCCUGCGGGCGGCAGCAGUAGUGAAUCUGCGGCAAUGGACGAAAGUCUGACCGAGCAACGCCGCGUGAGUGAAGAAGGUUUUCGGAUCGUAAAACUCUGUUUUUAGAGAACCGGUAUCUAACCAGAAAGCCACGGCUAACUACGUGCCAGCAGCCGCGGUAAUA
rnacentral:rRNA from 1 species